rnacentral:rRNA from 1 species
GUCGAACGCUGGCGGCGUGCCUAAUACAUGCAAGUAGGACGCAGUUGCGAACGGGUGAGUAACGCGUAGGUACCUACCUAAUAGAGGGGGAUAACUAUUGGAAACGAUAGCUAAUACCGCAUACUAGUAGAUGGACCUGCGUUUUAUUAGCUAGUAGGUCGGGUAAUGGCCUACCUAGGCAACGAGACAUAGCCGACCUGAGAGGGUGAUCAGCCACACUGGAACUGAGACACGGCCCAGACUCCUACGGGAGGCAGCAGUGGGGAAUCUUGGGCAAUGGGGGAACCCUUGCCGAGCAACGGCGCGUGAGUGGAUGAGGUUUUCGGGUCGGAAAGCUCUGUUGUUAAGGAAGCGGUACUUAACCAGAAAGGGACGGCUAACUACGUGCCAGCAGCCGCGGUAAUAC